rnacentral:tRNA from 1 species
UCCUCCGUAGCUCAAUUGGCAGAGCAUCCGGCUGUUAACCGGAGUGUUCCUGGUUCGAGUCCAGGCGGAGGAG